rnacentral:rRNA from 1 species
UACGUAGGGUGCGAGCGUUAAUCGGAAUUACUGGGCGUAAAGCGCACGUAGGCGGUUUUUUAAGUCAGAUGUGAAAGCCCCGGGCUCAACCUGGGAAUUGCAUUUGAAACUGGGAAACUAGAGUGUGUGAGAGGAUGGUAGAAUUCCAAGUGUAGCGGUGAAAUGCGUAGAGAUUUGGAGGAAUACCAGUGGCGAAGGCGGCCCCCUGGCCCGAUAUUGACGCUGAGGUGCGAAAGCGUGGGGAGCGAACCGG